rnacentral:rRNA from 1 species
AACGGCCGUACCAUGCUGAAUAUACCGGUUCUCGUUAGAUCACCGAAGUUAAGCAUCAUUGGGCGCGGUCAGUACUGGGGUGGGUGACCACCUGGGAACACCGCGUGCCGUU